UUUACAAAAUGUCUCAAACAAUUAAAGCCACGUUUCAAAAAUAAUGCAAAUCUAUUAAUUAAUAUUUUGAGAAAAACAGUUUUUUAUUUAUUUUCUUUAAUAAUAAUUGAUCUUUUUGAUUUUUCUUACAUAUUAUAUAUAUCUUUCGAUAUGAUUUAUCGACUGCACUGACGUCGAGAAAUUUCCGGUAUUUAUGGCGAUUAUACAAACCUAUACUGCAAAGGACAGAGAAGAACUAAUUAAUUGUUCGCGGCCGAAUUGUUCCAAAACUCGAAGGAAGGUCUCUCCUAUUAGUUACGUUGAAAUCCCAUAUCGGCUAGACUCGCAAAUAGCGAACAACAAUGAGCAAUCCUGCAAUUAACUGUCUCAUGGUAAAGAAAACUUUAAUCGUUGUUUUCUCCCUUUCUCGAGAGAUCUGCAAGGAAAUCAAAACAAUGGCUGUUAAUUUACGUGUAAUUAAUGGAACUCUCAUGAUAUCGACAUAAAACUUUUUAUGAUUCGCAUAAAGGAAACAUCGAUUCGAUUCAUCGUUUCUGAAUGGUAUGAAUUUAACAUCGAACGGAUAAAAAUAAAGAGUCGAGCUUUAUACGAAGAGAUAAAGAUUUAAAAAUAUAUCGUUGACAGAAACAAGAAAAUAGGAAAGAAUAGAGAAAAAGGAAAGAGAAAAAAAAAAAGAGGAAAACAGAUUGUUGUCGUCAGUCGGUCAAAACUAGCUCGUAAGAAGCCAUCCCCCAGGAGCUUUCCGGUGUCAGACGCUUCCUGUGUUCCUAUCUGACUCUAUAUACCUAUCGAUCCUCGGUCUGCACCCUCCUCUUUGUGCCAUCCGACUGUCAUCCCUCUCUAUUCGCCGCCCUUUCGACCUCCUCUUUCCUCCAGAGCUUGGAGAUCUACAGGGUGUUAAUAUAAUAUUCAUCGAACAUUUUUAAAAAAUCGAUUCUAGAAAUCAAAAAAAAUGUGAAAAAUUAAGUUAUAUACAAAAAUAUUGA